AGCCUAUUAGCUCAGCUGGUUAGAGCGUGGUCUUAAUUAAUAAGCCCAAGGUCGCAGGUUCAAGACCUGCAUGGGCCA
rnacentral:tRNA from 1 species